UAGGGAAUCUUCGGCAAUGGACGGAAGUCUGACCGAGCAACGCCGCGUGAGUGAAGAAGGUUUUCGGAUCGUAAAGCUCUGUUGUAAGAGAAGAACGAGUGUGAGAGUGGAAAGUUCACACUGUGACGGUAUCUUACCAGAAAGGGACGGCUAACUACGUGCCAGCAGCCGCGGUAAUACGUAGGUCCCGAGCGUUGUCCGGAUUUAUUGGGCGUAAAGCGAGCGCAGGCGGUUAGAUAAGUCUGAAGUUAAAGGCUGUGGCUUAACCAUAGUAGGCUUUGGAAACUGUUUAACUUGAGUGCAAGAGGGGAGAGUGGAAUUCCAUGUGUAGCGGUGAAAUGCGUAGAUAUAUGGAGGAACACCGGUGGCGAAAGCGGCUCUCUGGCUUGUAACUGACGCUGAGGCUCGAAAGCGUGGGGAGCAAACAGGAUUAGAUACCCUGGUAGUCCACGCUGUAAACGAUGAGUGCUAGGUGUUAGACCCUUUCCGGGGUUUAGUGCCGUAGCUAACGCAUUAAGCACUCCGCCUGGGGAGUACGACCGCAAGGUUG
rnacentral:rRNA from 1 species